rnacentral:rRNA from 1 species
CGUGGGUAACCUGCCUGUAAGACUGGGAUAACUCCGGGAAACCGGGGCUAAUACCGGAUGCUUGAUUGAACCGCAUGGUUCAAUUAUAAAAGGUGGCUUUUAGCUACCACUUACAGAUGGACCCGCGGCGCAUUAGCUAGUUGGUGAGGUAACGGCUCACCAAGGCAACGAUGCGUAGCCGACCUGAGAGGGUGAUCGGCCACACUGGGACUGAGACACGGCCCAGACUCCUACGGGAGGCAGCAGUAGGGAAUCUUCCGCAAUGGACGAAAGUCUGACGGAGCAACGCCGCGUGAGUGAUGAAGGUUUUCGGAUCGUAAAACUCUGUUGUUAGGGAAGAACAAGUACCGUUCGAAUAGGGCGGUACCUUGACGGUACCUAACCAGAAAGCCACGGCUAACUACGUGCCAGCAGCCGCGGUAAUACGUAGGUGGCAAGCGUUGUCCGGAAUUAUUGGGCGUAAAGCGCGCGCAGGCGGUUUCUUAAGUCUGAUGUGAAAGCCCCCGGCUCAACCGGGGAGGGUCAUUGGAAACUGGGGAACUUGAGUGCAGAAGAGGAGAGUGGAAUUCCACGUGUAGCGGUGAAAUGCGUAGAGAUGUGGAGGAACACCAGUGGCGAAGGGCGACUCUCUGGUCUGUAACUGA